rnacentral:rRNA from 1 species
UCAAUCUCGUGCGGCUGAGAGCCGCCUGUCCCUUUAAGAAGAUAAAAUGUCGCCGGUAGCACUGGAUACCGGAGCGACUAUUUAAUAGGCUAGAGUCUCGUUCGUUAU